ACUAUUUUUAGCUGGUAGCAAAAUGGCAGGCAUGGAUGUAAACAUGUGCGCCGAGAUCAUGUUGUGGAUUGAUACUGUGCGUGUGGAUGUCGAACUAUGCAGGAGAUAUGACUCCUAUACUACUUGUGUUGUGUAGAAGAGGUGAAAGAUGCGGGGUACCCGUGUCAUGGUGUUUGAUUCCAUAUGAUGUAUGCUCCAGUGACUCAUUACAAUCAACUGCUUCAGCCCCUAAGUUGAAUUUAUCCAAUUGCAUUUAACAUGUUUUUGGCUUAUGCGUGAGACCAUCUGUAUCAAUUGGUGAAUUGGCUGGUUCUACCUCCCUAUGUUCCUGCCUGUUACCCAGCUUUUCCUAUGUGGAGACCAUCGGCAUAAUUUUGUAUGAGGAAAACAAUUAUGUGCAUUGAUAACCUCCAAACAGAAAUAUCAACAUGAUUAUACAUGUUAAUUAUACAUAUACAAACCUAAUCUUACUACAUGUAUUUA